CACAGUUGAGGCCUGGUGUGGCCCAGAAGGAAGGGGACCCAGGCACAGUUCCAAGCAGGUGGACUCUCAGUGUCUUGCAAGUGACGGCUAGCAGAGCAGGUCAGCCAGGAGGCACAGCACCCUGCAACCUCCAGGGGCCUUUGUGCGACAGCAGAUGUUGAUGCCCUAGAAGCACGGUGCGGAGCACAUCCUGGGUCAAGGUGCCACGGACUGGAAAAUGCUGCUGUGGCGGAGUUCCUGUGUGAAGACAAAACUCCCAGUCGCCCAGAAAUGUGGAGGCAGAAGAGCAGUGACAAGGUAUCUACAUGUCUAUCUGUGUAUGUGCACAGCAGGCCCAGCUGCCCUGCUUCCUCCCUCCACGGGAUCUGCUCCUGCUGCUGCUGCUGCUGCUGGAGUCUCCUCUGGCCACGGUGGCGUGGGGCGAGUUCUUUUGUCAAGCAGGACUACCGUUUGUCAACCCCUUGUGACCGGCCCUGAUCCCCUGGUUGACCUUUAAUGAAUCGCAACGUUAUCCAUCCCAUACUACCAUGGCAGGCAUUGUGUUCAACUUAGGAAAUGAACGCAUGAAGAAUAGCUUUGUUUGCAUGCUGGUAACUGCUGAGGCUUUGGCUGACGACAGCUUUCAGCUGCACCUGAACUAGGCUGGAUUUGUCUCCUGCUCUCCAUAGGUGAGUAUUUCUCUUUCAUACCUUUGAAGCAGCUUUGUACACAGCUUAAGUGAUGGGACAGGAAUGACUCCAGUAUGGUAACAACGUGAUUUCUAGUGUUUUGGUACGUAGAUUCAAGUCAGUAUGGGUCCAUUUCAGACAGCAUCGUCUCACAUCUGUUUGUUGUCUCAUAUCAAAGGAAUUUUUUCUCAUUUGGCUACAUACAUACUCCACCCAUAGUUUGCGUAUUGUCUUCUUAGGGUGAGGUUUGCCUGCUGAACAGCAAGACAAAAGAAGCUUAAAUUACAGAAGCAGAGAAGCAAAGGCAGCUUAGAGGCUCAAUACAGUACGGAUCAGUUAGAGUAUUACUUUGAAGUUGUUGUGUUCUGGGUCUUAGGUGGGAUGAGAUUCGGGUGUGAAUGUUACAGCCAAGUGUUUUUCCCUUGUUCAUUGUUCACCUGCUGCCAUGCAAGCCAGCUCUUCUUUUCCCUGCCUCUGCUUUUCUUGUUGCAUGCAUAUGCAUCGCAAAAUCUCUGAACAGAUUUAUUUUCCCGUUUUAAAAGUGUAUAGCUAGAAGUGGGGCUUAUCUCAUCAUCUGAUGGAGAUUGGUUGUGUAUGGGGGAGUUUGUACGAAUUAUUAGCAUCUCACCAAAAGCAAGGAC
rnacentral:lncRNA from 7 species